ACCUCCACCACCUCCUGGGGCCGGGCCUGGGCCAGCGCGGAACGGGGGAGGAAACGGAGCGUGGAGAAAAGGGGAAAGGAACGGGAGGGGGAGGGAGGGGAAAAAAAAAAAAAAAGAAAAAAAAAAAAAAAAGUGGGCCCCUCCCCCGGCGGAGGUGCGCUGCGUCAGCGCUCUGCGUUCUACGUCAUCGCAGCGCGCCGCCGUGCGCCGUUGGUAUGGCAACCGCGCAGCGAGGGGCUACAGCGCCCCCCGGCGGAGCGGAGGACGCGCGAGGAACACACCGCGGGCGGAGCCGUUGGGUGGGUCCGCCUAAAGGGGGGGGGGCGGGAUGGCUCCGCCCCCAUGCGAUGCCACGCCCCCAAGGGGGUGGGGCUUCCGCUGCCCGGGGUCACGCCCUGUGCGGUGCGCGGUCAGUGCAGCGUGGGGACACUGCGGGGACAUCGUGGGGACACCGCGGGGAUGCUACAGGGACCCUGCAGGGACAUCGUGGGCAGAUCACAGGGGCACCAUGGGGACAUCGUGGGGACACUAUGGGGAAACUAUGGGGGACAUCAUGGGGACAUGAUAGGGACAUCAUAGGGACAUCAUAGGGACAUCAUAGGGACUGUGCAGGGGCAUCAUGAGGACAUCACAGGGGCACCAUGGGGACACUGUGGGGACACCUUGGGGACAAUACAAGGACACCACGGAGACACCAUCAAGACAUCACGGGGACAUCAUGGGGACACUAUGGAAACAUCAUGGGGAGACCAUGGGGAAACCAUAGGGACACCUUGGGGACACCAUGGGGACACCAUGGGGACACUAUGGGGGACAUCAUGGGAACACUAUGAGGGACACUGCACGGACAUCAUCAUGGGGACAUUGCGUGGACACCACGGGGACAUCAUGGAGACAUCAAGGAGCCCCCAUCUCCCCGGGUCCCACCUGUGGGUGUCCCCACCGGCCCUGGAGCGCUCCCCAGGAGUUCCCCAUGUCCGACCCCAUCCCCACGCCGGCCCCACGGCCCUGCCCCACCGCUGGCUCCACCUUAACCCCAGGGCCCGGCUGCGCGGUGCCACCGCGGUUAUCUCGGUUAUCUCGUUGGGAUCAGCCAAUAUUUGUGGUCAGGGCAGCGCUACCCCCCUCAGCCCCACGGCGGCCGCACUUCACCCGGAUCGCAUCGCGGCGAUGGCAGCGGUGGCGGCCUUCCUCCUCCUCCUCAUCCUCCUGCGGGUGGCAUCCCCCCACGGAGCCCCUCGGUGCCCCGGCUGCGGUCUCACGGCUCUGCCCCCCCCGGCGCAGCGCAGGGCGCUCCUGGCCAUGGCCCAGCACAGCAUCCUGGACCGGCUGCACCUGCCCGAGCGGCCCCGUGCCCCCCACCCCCCCUCUAAGGCAGCGCUGCUCAGUGCUCUGCGCCGGGUGCAACCGCAGCGCGCCCGCGGCACGGCCCCCCCCCCGCCCCACGGCACCGCGGGGCAGAACAUCGAGGUGGUGAGCUUCGCCGAGGCAGGUGGGUGCCAGAGGGAGCUGUGGUGGUGGUGCGGGGGGUCCCUGGAUGAGGAGGGAUCGCUGCGUGGGGGGGGGGGAUCCCUUUAUGGGGAGAUCCCCGCGGUGGGGGUCCCUGUGGGGGGAGGAGGUCACUGGGGCAGGGGGGAACGCAGUGGGUUUUGCAUUGCAUGGAGACACCCGUGCACGUGGGGCCGUGGGGGGUUCCCCGUUGUGGAGGGGUCCCAGCAGGGGGGGGUUUGCAUUGCAUGGACAUGGCCCCUGGGUGGCUGCCCCUCUCUGUAGGGUUGGUGGGGCCGUGGGGCUCCGGGCCCCCCAUUUUUCUGGGGGGGGGAGGCACAGCGCAGCAGAGCUGUGCCCCCAUUCCUCCCCAUAGCUCUGCAUUCCCUGGAGCAGGGAGACCCCCCAUGUGGCGCUCAGGGUCCCUAUGGGCAUCCCGUGAGGUCCCCACGCCCCCCAGGGCCAAUGAGCAGAGGAGCCCUAAGCCCCCCCCUCCCGCACAAAGCGACCCCCUCGUGCUGCCCCACUGCUGGGCGAGCUGUGGGGCAGCGCUCCCCAUUCAGCCCCUGGCUCUUUGCAUGGCUCGCUGCGUCCUCGAAGGGCUCUGGAAGUGACGCAUCCCCAUCGCGCCGUGCUCAGCGGGGCUGGGGGGGGGGGGGGG
rnacentral:lncRNA from 1 species